CGUCUUGACUGCAACAAUAACCUUUGCUGCGUUAUUCGGUCGAUUUUCUUAUGUUGUAAUAAUACAUGAAUAUAAUAGAUUGUGUCAGCUCCGGGCAGGCUGCAAAACCUGGCAUUCCCGAACUGCACGGGGUUGUUGUCAUGACCCAACUAUAUAGAUUCACCCUCGACCCGGGCAGAGAACAAUACUAUGAAAAUGUUGGAACGGUGCAGAUCACUGUUUAACAAAGUAUGACUGAGGGACAAUUUUAUCUUAGUCUCUUCUGCAAGUACGCAAAGCGAGCAUGUUGUAUAAUACGAAAAAUGUGGGCCGCUGUCUC